UACGAACGCUGGCGGCGCGCUUAACACAUGCAAGUCGAACGGAAAGGCCUGCUUUCCCUUGUGGAUUGCGGGUACUCGAGUGGCGAACGGGUGAGUAACACGUGAGUGAUCUGCCCCCAACUUGGGUAUAAGCCUGGGAAACUGGGUCUAAUUCCCGAUAGGACUGCAGGGUGGUGCCUGUGGUGGAAAACGAUUUUCUAGUGGUUGGGGAUGAGCUCGCGGCCUAUCAGCUUGUUGGUGGGGUAAUGGCCUACCAAGGCGGCGACGGGUAGCCGGCCUGAGAGGGUGGACGGCCACAUUGGGACUGAGAUACGGCCCAGACUCCGACGGGAGGCAGCAGUGGGGAAUAUUGCACAAUGGGCGGAAGCCUGAUGCAGCGACGCCGCGUGGGGGAUGACGGCCUUCGGGUUGUAAACUCCUUUCGACCGCGAGGAAGCCACCUGGUUGGAAGGGUGGUGACGGUAGUGGUAGAAGAAGCACCGGCUAACUACGUG
rnacentral:rRNA from 1 species